GAUGAACGCUGGCGGCGUGCCUAAUACAUGCAAGUCGAGCGAACAGACGAGGAGCUUGCUCCUCUGACGUUGGCGGCGGACGGGUGAGUAACACGUGGAUAACCUACCUAUAAGACUGGGAUAACUUCGGGAAACCGGAGCUAAUACCGGAUAAUAUAUUGAACCGCAUGGUUCAAUAGUGAAAGACAGUUUUGCUGUCACUUAUAGAUGGAUCCGCGCCGCAUUAGCUAGUUGGUAAGGUAACGGCUUACCAAGGCAACGAUGCGUAGCCGACCUGAGAGGGUGAUCGGCCACACUGGAACUGAGACACGGUCCAGACUCCUACGGGAGGCAGCAGUAGGGAAUCUUCCGCAAUGGGCGAAAGCCUGACGGAGCAACGCCGCGUGAGUGAUGAAGGUCUUCGGAUCGUAAAACUCUGUUAUUAGGGAAGAACAAAUGUGUAAGUAACUAUGCACGUCUUGACGGUACCUAAUCAGAAAGCCACGGCUAACUACGUG
rnacentral:rRNA from 1 species